rnacentral:misc_RNA from 1 species
GUCGCCCUCGCAAACCCUAGCGCUCGUUCCAGCGAUCUCGGCAAUCUCCAUCAAUGGCGUCGGAGACGGAGACCUUUGCUUUCCAGGCGGAGAUCAACCAACUCCUUUCUCUAAUUAUCAACACCUUCUAUUCGAACAAGGAGAUUUUCCUCCGCGAGCUCAUCUCCAAUUCCUCCGAUGCGCUUGAUAAGAUCCGAUUCGAGAGCCUCACUGACAAGAGCAAGCUCGAUGCCCA